AUAGGUACCUAUUGAAAAACGUCAUGUGAUACAUGUAUUUAUCAAGCAAUCCAACAUCAUUGGAGUUCUCAAUUCUCAACCAUAUUAUUUCAUUCACGUUUUUAUUACAAACACAGGAUACGUUGCAGAACUGUAGCUCAACGCGAAAUUUGGGUUGCUACAGUUCCAUUCAUACCAAAAGACUUGCUUCUAAAGUAAUAUGUCUCAAGAAUAUUUUGUUAAAAUUUUCACAGAAUAUAUUCCUAAAUUAGCUUCAUGGGUCCAAAACCAUGCGCAACUUUUUGUGCGCAAUAAAACAUUUUUUCUAUGGCUGGAACUGAAGCUUUAACCUGAAUUAUUUUUUAUUUUUAAUUUUUUUGGUAUGUUUUUUCUGUCUUGUGCGAGGCAUUGUGUUUGUUUGAUGUUCUUUUUCAUUACCAUUACCAUGUUCAAAUUCAUUUGUGAAUCUAUUAUUGUAAAAGCUGUUGUGCAUAAUAUACCGUUUCAUUGUUUCAUAUUUUACUUUAUUUAUAGGCACAGGGCUAUAAUUAUUACUCGCUUAAACAAGGAAAAGGCUAUAUGAAAAACCAUGUAAUAGUCAUUUUUGGCCAAAUGUCUCCGAUAUUUUAUUAACGCUGAAAGAGAGAAAGAAAGGCAUAUCUGAUUAAUGCUCGAUAAAGAUGACUCAAUGUGCUGUAAAUUCUUAGCUUAAAUAUUGAAGUAUUUAUACUAUUACAUGUUGAUAUCUGUUCAACAAUAUGAGUGCAAUUAAAAGCAAUAAAAUCUG
rnacentral:misc_RNA from 1 species